rnacentral:sRNA from 1 species
UGAUGGCCGAUAUAUCGCGCAUUCCCC